rnacentral:rRNA from 1 species
AUUGAACGCUGGCGGCAUGCCUAACACAUGCAAGUCGAACGGAAACGAUGGGAGCUUGCUCCCAGGCGUCGAGUGGCGGACGGGUGAGUAAUACUUAGGAAUCUACCCAGUAGCGGGGGACAACUCGGGGAAACUCGAGCUAAUACCGCAUACGCUCUACGGAGGAAAGCAGGGGAUCUUCGGACCUUGCACUAUUGGAUGAGCCUAAGUCGGAUUAGCUUGUUGGUGAGGUAAAGGCUCACCAAGGCGACGAUCCGUAGCUGGUCUGAGAGGACGAUCAGCCACACUGGGACUGAGACACGGCCCAGACUCCUACGGGAGGCAGCAGUGGGGAAUAUUGGACAAUGGGGGCAACCCUGAUCCAGCAAUGCCGCGUGUGUGAAGAAGGCCUGCGGGUUGUAAAGCACUUUCAGUAGAGAAGAAAAGCCUAGGGUUAAUACCCCUGAGUCUUGACGUUACCUACAGAAGAAGCUCCGGCUAACUCCGUG